rnacentral:rRNA from 1 species
GACCGCUGGCGGCGUGCUUAACACAUGCAAGUCGAACGCUGAAGCUUGGUGCUUGCACUGGGUGGAUGAGUGGCGAACGGGUGAGUAAUACGUGAGUAACCUGCCCUUGACUCUGGGAUAAGCCUGGGAAACUGGGUCUAAUACUGGAUACGACAUGUCACCGCAUGGUGGUGUGUGGAAAGGGUUUUACUGGUUUUGGAUGGGCUCACGGCCUAUCAGCUUGUUGGUGGGGUAAUGGCUCACCAAGGCGACGACGGGUAGCCGGCCUGAGAGGGUGACCGGCCACACUGGGACUGAGACACGGCCCAGACUCCUACGGGAGGCAGCAGUGGGGAAUAUUGCACAAUGGGCGGAAGCCUGAUGCAGCGACGCCGCGUGAGGGAUGACGGCCUUCGGGUUGUAAACCUCUUUCAGCACGGAAGAAGCGAAAGUGACGGUACGUGCAGAAGAAGCGCCGGCUAACUACGUG